CCUACGGGCGGCAGCAGUGGGGAAUAUUGGGCAAUGGGCGCAAGCCUGACCCAGCAACGCCGCGUGAAGGAAGAAGGCUUUCGGGUUGUAAACUUCUUUUGACAGGGAAGAGUAGAAGACGGUACCUGUCGAAUAAGCCACGGCUAACUACGUGCCAGCAGCCGCGGUAAUACGUAGGUGGCAAGCGUUGUCCGGAUUUACUGGGUGUAAAGGGCGUGUAGCCGGGUUGACAAGUCAGAUGUGAAAUCCUGCGGCUUAACCGCAGAACUGCAUUUGAAACUGUUGAUCUUGAGUACUGGAGAGGCAGACGGAAUUCCUAGUGUAGCGGUGAAAUGCGUAGAUAUUAGGAGGAACACCAGUGGCGAAGGCGACGAUCUGGCCUGCAACUGACGCUCAGUCCCGAAAGCGUGGGGAGCAAAUAGGAUUAGAUACCCCUGUAGUC
rnacentral:rRNA from 1 species